CCACAUCCCAACUUGGGGGUUUGGCAGUGGGAGGAGGAGCCCCCAGAGCAUCUGGAUUUGAAGUAUUUACCCUUUGGGAUUCAUCAUCUGGCACUGAACGACUCUAGAAGCUUUCUGUAUCCUGUCUGUAUGCAUGUUCUCUCUGCCAUGGUUUCAAGCUGCUGCAAUUCCUCGGACAAAAUUAAAGUGGUGAAUGCAUAA